GACGUAGGUGGCGAACGUUAUCCGGAAUUAUUGGGCGUAAAGGGCGCGUAGGCGGUCUUCUAAGUCGAACGUGAAAUCCCCGGGCUCAACCCGGGAACUGCGUCCGAUACUGGAAGGCUUGAAUCCGGGAGAGGGAUGCGGAAUUCCAGGUGUAGCGGUGAAAUGCGUAGAUAUCUGGAGGAACACCGGUGGCGAAGGCGGCAUCCUGGACCGGCAUUGACGCUGAGGCGCGAAAGCCAGGGGAGCAAACGGG
rnacentral:rRNA from 1 species